AUACGUAGGGGGCAAGCGUUGUCCGGAAUGAUUGGGCGUAAAGGGCGCGUAGGCGGCCCGGUAAGUCUGAAGUGAAAGUCCUGGUUUUAAGCUGGGAAUUGCUUUGGAUACUGUCGGGCUUGAGUGCAGGAGAGGUAAGUGGAAUUCCCAGUGUAGCGGUGAAAUGCGUAGAGAUUGGGAGGAACACCAGUGGCGAAGGCGACUUACUGGACUGUAACUGACGCUGAGGCGCGAAAGUGUGGGGAGCAAACAGGAUUAGAUACCCUGGUAGUCCACACUGUAAACGAUGAAUGCUAGGUGUAGGGGGUAUCGACCCCUUCUGUGCCGCAGUAAACACAAUAAGCAUUCCGCCUGGGGAGUACGGCCGCAAGGUUGAAACUCAAAUGAAUUGACGGGG
rnacentral:rRNA from 1 species